AGCAGCCGCGGUAAUUCCAGCUCCAAUAGCGUAUAUUAAAGUUGUUGCAGUUAAAAAGCUCGUAGUUGAAUUUCGGGAUCGAGGGAUCGGUCAUGCCUUGGUAUGUACUGAUCUCAUCGGUUCUCACCUUCUAAAGAACCAUAAUGUCAUUCAUUUGAUGUUAUGGGGAAUUAGGACUGUUACCUUGAAAAAUUAGAGUGUUUAAAGCAGGCUUACGCUUGAAUACAUUAGCAUGGAAUAAUGAAAUAGGACAUCAGAUUCUAUUUUGUUGGUUUCUAGGAUCGAUGUAAUGAUUAAUAGGGAUAGUUGGGGGCAUUAGUAUUCAAUUGUCAGAGGUGAAAUUCUUGGAUUUAUUGAAG
rnacentral:sRNA from 1 species